rnacentral:pre_miRNA from 1 species
GUGUUCCUAUGUGUGUAUGGUGUUCAGCACCAAGGACAGGUAUGUGUGUGUUCCUAUGUGUGUAUGUAUGGUGUUCAGCACCAAGGACAGGUAUGUAUGUGU